rnacentral:rRNA from 1 species
GAGUUUGAUCCUGGCUCAGGAUGAACGCUGGCGGCGUGCUUAACACAUGCAAGUCGAGCGGAGCACAUCGUUGGAAUCCUUCGGGAGGAAGAGGAUGUGGCUUAGCGGCGGACGGGUGAGUAACGCGUGGACAACCUGCCCUAUGCAGGGGGAUAACAUCCGGAAACGGGUGCUAAUACCGCAUAAGCGCACAGUACCGCAUGGUACAGUGUGAAAAGCUGAGGCGGCAUAGGAUGGGUCCGCGUUGGAUUAGGCAGUUGGCGGGGUAACGGCCCACCAAACCGACGAUCCAUAGCCGGCCUGAGAGGGUGGACGGCCACAUUGGGACUGAGACACGGCCCAGACUCCUACGGGAGGCAGCAGUGGGGAAUAUUGCACAAUGGGGGGAACCCUGAUGCAGCGACGCCGCGUGGGUGAGGAAGUACUUCGGUAUGUAAAGCCCUAUCAGCAGGGAAGAAAAUGACGGUACCUGACUAAGAAGCCCCGGCUAACUACGUGCCAGCAGCCGC